GAUAUAUAUGUUAUUUACCGGCUGAGAGGUCCGGAUGAGAAAAACUGUGCCCGAGGCCAGUUUUUAAGCCCGAGGGCACGGUUUUUCUCAUCCGGACCGACGCUGCUGGUAAAUAACGUGUUUAUU